AGCGAACGCUGGCGGCGUGCUUAACACAUGCAAGUCGAACGGUAAGGCCCUUCGGGGUACACGAGUGGCGAACGGGUGAGUAACACGUGGGUGAUCUGCCCUGCACUUCGGGAUAAGCCUGGGAAACUGGGUCUAAUACCGGAUAGGACCCUGGGAUGCAUGUCCUGGGGUGGAAAGCUUUUGCGGUGUGGGAUGGGCCCGCGGCCUAUCAGCUUGUUGGUGGGGUGAUGGCCUACCAAGGCGACGACGGGUAGCCGGCCUGAGAGGGUGACCGGCCACACUGGGACUGAGAUACGGCCCAGACUCCUACGGGAGGCGGCAGUGGGGAAUAUUGCACAAUGGGCGCAAGCCUGAUGCAGCGACGCCGCGUGAGGGAUGACGGCCUUCGGGUUGUAAACCUCUUUCAGCACCGACGAAGCGCAAGUGACGGUAGGUGCAGAAGAAGGACCGGCCAACUACGUGCCAGCCGCCGCCGUAA
rnacentral:rRNA from 1 species